rnacentral:rRNA from 1 species
GACGAACGCUGGCGGCGUGCCUAAUACAUGCAAGUAGAACGCACAGUUUAUACCGUAGCUUGCUACACCAUAGACUGUGAGUUGCGAACGGGUGAGUAACGCGUAGGUAACCUGCCUGGUAGCGGGGGAUAACUAUUGGAAACGAUAGCUAAUACCGCAUAAUAUUAAUUAUUGCAUGAUAAUUAAUUGAAAGGUGCAAUUGCACCACUACCAGAUGGACCUGCGUUGUAUUAGCUAGUAGGUGAGGUAACGGCUCACCUAGGCGACGAUACAUAGCCGACCUGAGAGGGUGAUCGGCCACACUGGGACUGAGACACGGCCCAGACUCCUAGGGGAGGCAGCAGUAGGGAAUCUUCGGCAAUGGACGAAAGUCUGAACGAGCAACGCCGCGUGAGUGAAGAAGGUUUUCGGAUCGUAAAGCUCUGUUGUAAGAGAAGAACGGGUGUGAGAGUGGAAAGUUCACACUGUGACGGUAUCUUAACAGAAAGGGACGGCUAACUACGUG